rnacentral:rRNA from 1 species
GAUGAACGCUGGCGGCGUGCCUAAUACAUGCAAGUCGAGCGAACAGACGCGGAGCUUGCUCCUCUGACGUUAGCGGCGCACGGGUGAGUAACACGUGGAUAACCUCCCUAUAAGACUGGGAUAACUUCGGGAAACCGGCGCUAAUACCGGAUAAUCUAUUGAACCGCAUGGUUCAAUAGUGAAAGACGGUUUUGCUGUCACUUAUAGAUGGAUCCGCGCCGCAUUAGCUAGUUGGUAAGGUAACGGCUUACCAAGGCAACGAUGCGUAGCCGACCUGAGAGGCUGAUCGGCCACACUGGAGCGGGGACACGGUCCAGAGUCCUAAGGGAGGCAGCAGUAGGGAAUCUUACGCAGUGGGCGAAAGCCUGACGGAGCAACGCGGCGUGAGUGAUGAAGGUGUUCGGAGCGUAAAACUCUGUUAUUAGGGAAGAACAAAUGUGUAAGUAACUAUGCACGUCUUGACGGUACCUAAUCAGAAAGCCACGGCUAACUACGUG